rnacentral:rRNA from 1 species
UACGUAGGUGGCAAGCGUUGUCCGGAAUUAUUGGGCGUAAAGCGCGCGCAGGCGGCUUCUUAAGUCUGAUGUGAAAUCUCGGGGCUCAACCCCGAGCGGCCAUUGGAAACUGGGAAGCUUGAGUACAGAAGAGGAGAGUGGAAUUCCACGUGUAGCGGUGAAAUGCGUAGAUAUGUGGAGGAACACCAGUGGCGAAGGCGACUCUCUGGUCUGUAACUGACGCUGAGGUGCGAAAGCGUGGGUAGCAAACAGG